GGACAUCGCAUCCCUGAAACUGCCGUUGGGAGCACGGGGCGCGAGAGCAAGCGAUGCGCCCUCCUGUGUCGUUCGGCGCAGCUCAUGAGUACCCUGUGGCGAAUCAGAAGGAGCCGCGGCCACUGCAGCUCGCACCGCACAACCGCGCACCGGCAUUCGGGACCGGUUACAUUGGGGACGCCGCUCCCUUUUGGCUUGACAGGGCCGCGGCGCAUUUAUGGCGAGGUUGAUAGGGGGACCCACGAGAUCAUCAUCCUGAUCCUCCAGUCCGCGCCCGAGGCGAAUAUUUGUCUUGUGGACCCGAGCGAGUCCGACCCCACGCCCAGGGUCGGGUGAGGCGGAGUUUCUGAGGUGGGGGUCGGGCGCUCCCGACCCCGGUCCCCUGGGUCGGGCGAGGCGAAGUUUAGUCUUCAAGGGGUCGGGAGCGUCCGACCACGGGACCCCGGGUCGGGCGAGGCGGAGUUUAGUCUUCUAGGGGUUGGGAGCGUCCGACCCCGGGACUCCGGGUCGGGCGAGGCGGAAUUUAGUCUUCGAGGGGUCGGGCGCUCCCGACCCUGAGACCGCGGUCGGGCGAGGCAGAGUCCCGCCAUCGAGGGGUCGGGAUUGUUCGACCCCGGGGCCCUGGGUCGGGCGAGACGGAGUGGGAUGUUCUCUGCCUCUACUGGGUCGGCGGUAAUCAUAAUUACCGCAGGUGGGCCUGGGCCUUCAUGACUGUUGCUUUAAGCGGCAUUAGGAGGUCGUUAAUAUUUCCCCCCAACAAGUGGAUCUGGGACAGAAUCAUAGGCUGACAGCUAGUCAACUAAACAAGAAAAUUGCUCUAUGUACUCAGCCACAGACCCUGUUUGCUUAACGUGAAACAAUUGACGAAGCAACAAUUGAUAAUGAUCCUUCCCGAAUCGCUCAUGAAGCAAGAAACAAAACAAAGACCACUGGAGAACAGGAAAUUUGCAUUGGAACCAGCAAGCUACAGAUGGGACUAAAUGCAUCGAUGCGACCUUAAUCUAAGCAUCCGAUUCGACAUGAAACAUAUCAAAAUAAACCUCGCAGUGCGAAAUCCACAGUCUAGGGUUAUACCCAUCAAACGUGGGGAAGGAAAUCUUAGGUAAUUUGCCCACAAUUCGAGGACCCUGAUCUCUAGAAUGUGUUCGCGCCGCUGAAGACUCAAACAAGGGACCAUGAAACUUAAGCUGAGGAGUAAGAGGAGGGAGAUCGGUCGUACCCUUGACUAGGCCAGGGAACGAGGUCACCAUGGACCUGAAUCCCUACUCCCGGUGUCAAAAUUCUUCACGGUGCCGACUGGGGCCGUCGGUGGUGAACCCGACAGGUGGGCGCGCGGACGCCGACUCGGGUUUGCCCAGCAACCCCGGAUCUACGGCUGCGGUCUCCAACACGGAUUGAUCCCAGUGCUUGUUCAGGCACGUCAGCUCGAGCUUGAUGCCGUCCAUGGCCGCCUCAACAGAAGGGCGCUAAGCAGCGAGAUCUUUCUGGCCUUGCUCUAGCGAAUCAAGGCGUUCCUCCUUGGCUUGAACAAGAUCGUCAAAUUUCUUCUCCCACUUCACAUCCAACGCCGCAAACCGCUUCUCCAUCUCAUCCAAAAUCAGCUUCGUGUUGGGAUCCAUGGCGCCAAGGUGACGCUGGCGGCGGGUGAAGUGCUCGUGAUCUAGAAUCAGCUCCAGCACGACUACGGAGCCACCGCAGGAAUCGGUGUCUCUGAUACCAGAUGUUAGCAGCACGGUAGCGGGAUAUGCGAGGGUAGGGAAAGAGAAUCGGAACAGAGGAGGAAGAACUAGAAAGGCAGCACGAGAACGUUUCAAUAGAGUUCAGAAGUUUGUUACAAGAUUCUUUUCCCAUUCACCACACGUCCCCUCAUCUCUUAAACGCACGCACACAACUCACGCACGACGCCGCUAGACCCAUUCUGGGCUGACCACACGCGAGUUCACCCUCCUGGGCUUGCUGGUCCUUCUC
rnacentral:lncRNA from 1 species